rnacentral:lncRNA from 1 species
UUAGCACGAGGGUUAGCAGAUUUUUUACCACUAGUAGGACCAUUUUGCUCCUCUUGUUUAUCUAUCAUCUCAAUACUAGCACUAGGGCUAGUAGGUACUUUACCACUAGCAGCAUCGUUUUGUUCCUCCUCUUGUGUAUUUAUCAUCUCAAUACUAGCACUAGGGCUAGCAGGUACUUUACCACUAGCAGGACCAUUUUGUUCCUCCUCUUGUUUAUUUAUCAUCUCAACAUUAGCACUAGUGUUAGAAGGUUCUUUACCACAAGCAGGGUCAUUUUGUUCCUCCUCUGGUUUAUCUAUCAUCUCAACAUAACCACUGGUGUUAGAAGGUUCUUUACCACAAGCAGGGUCAUUUUGUUCCUCCUCUGGUUUAUCUAUCAUCUCAACAUGACCACUAGUGUUAGAAGGUUCUUUACCAGAAGCAGGGUCAUUUUGUUCCUCCUCUGGUUUAUCUAUCAUCUCAACAUUUGCACUAGGGUUAGCAAGUUCCUU